rnacentral:rRNA from 1 species
UACAGAGGGGGCAAGCGUUAUUCGGAAUUAUUGGGCGUAAAGGGCGCGUAGGCGGCCUGACAAGUGGAAUGUGAAAUCCCUCGGCUUAACCGAGGAACUGCCCUCCAAACUGUUUGGCUUGAGUCCGGGAGAGGUGAGUGGAAUUCCCAGUGUAGCGGUGAAAUGCGUAGAUAUUGGGAGGAACACCAGUGGCGAAGGCGGCUCACUGGACCGGAACUGACGCUGAUGCGCGAAAGCGUGGGGAGCAAACGGG